rnacentral:piRNA from 1 species
UGAGUUUUAUAGCCAAAGUCACAAGCUCUA